rnacentral:rRNA from 1 species
GACGAACGCUGGCGGCGUGCUUAACACAUGCAAGUCGAACGGAAAGGCCCUGCUUUUGUGGGGUGCUCGAGUGGCGAACGGGUGAGUAACACGUGAGUAACCUGCCCUUGACUUUGGGAUAACUUCAGGAAACUGGGGCUAAUACCGGAUAGGAGCUCCUGCUGCAUGGUGGGGGUUGGAAAGUUUCGGCGGUUGGGGAUGGACUCGCGGCUUAUCAGCUUGUUGGUGGGGUAGUGGCUUACCAAGGCUUUGACGGGUAGCCGGCCUGAGAGGGUGACCGGCCACAUUGGGACUGAGAUACGGCCCAGACUCCUACGGGAGGCAGCAGUGGGGAAUAUUGCACAAUGGGCGGAAGCCUGAUGUAGCCACGCCGCGUGCGGGAUGACGGCCUUCGGGUUGUAAACCGCUUUCGCCUGUGACGAAGCGUGAGUGACGGUAAUGGGUAAAGAAGCACCGGCUAACUACGUG